GAUGAACGCUGGCGGCGUGCCUAAUACAUGCAAGUCGAGCGAACAGACGAGGAGCUUGCUCCUCUGACGUUAGCGGCGGACGGGUGAGUAACACGUGGAUAACCUACCUAUAAGACUGGGAUAACUUCGGGAAACCGGAGCUAAUACCGGAUAAUAUAUUGAACCGCAUGGUUCAAUAGUGAAAGACGGUUUUGCUGUCACUUAUAGAUGGAUCCGCGCCGCAUUAGCUAGUUGGUAAGGUAACGGCUUACCAAGGCAACGAUGCGUAGCCGACCUGAGAGGGUGAUCGGCCACACUGGAACUGAGACACGGUCCAGACUCCUACGGGAGGCAGCAGUAGGGAAUCUUCCGCAAUGGGCGAAAGCCUGACGGAGCAACGCCGCGUGAGCGAUGAAGGUCCUCGGAUCGUAAAACUCUGUUAUUAGGGAAGAACAAAUGUGUAAGUAACUAUGCACGCCUUGACGGUACCUAAUCAGAAAGCCACGGCUAACUACGUG
rnacentral:rRNA from 1 species